rnacentral:rRNA from 1 species
UACGAAGGGUGCAAGCGUUAAUCGGAAUUACUGGGCGUAAAGCGUGCGUAGGCGGUUGUUUAAGUCUGCUGUGAAAUCCCCGGGCUCAACCUGGGAAUUGCGUUGGAGACUGCAAGGCUGGAGUCUGGCAGAGGGGGGUAGAAUUCCACGUGUAGCAGUGAAAUGCGUAGAGAUGUGGAGGAACACCGAUGGCGAAGGCAGCCCCCUGGGUCAAGACUGACGCUCAUGCACGAAAGCGUGGGGAGCAAACAGG